rnacentral:rRNA from 1 species
UACGAAGGGGACUAGCGUUGUUCGGAUUUACUGGGCGUAAAGCGCGCGUAGGCGGAUCGCUAAGUCAGGGGUGAAAUCCCAGGGCUCAACCCUGGAACUGCCUUUGAUACUGACGAUCUGGAGAUCGGGAGAGGUUGGUGGAAUUCCGAGUGUAGAGGUGAAAUUCGUAGAUAUUGGGAAGAACACCAGUGGCGAAGGCGGCUAACUGGUCCGGAUCUGACGCUGAGGUGCGAAAGCGUGGGGAGCAAACAGG